AAUAUAACCUAGUUUAUAUAAUCAUUCUUUAACCACUUUACUUAACAAUUUAAUCCAUUAACUUUCAUUUAACAAUUUAGCCAUUAGCCCAAUAAACAAUUGUAACUCAAGGCCAAUUAACCCGACCCAACCGCCCCUUCCAAUUCUUUCUCCCGCUCUCUUCUUCUGAUCGUAAUUUUAAACAUGUUUGUAAUGACGUUUGACGUGUUUUGAUGGUUAUAUAAAUUUUUAGUUUGGUGUUCUUUUGUUUUAUAUGGCCCGACCCGAGCCCACCCGAUAUAAACCGAAUUCUUUUUAUAUACCUAGGGGCCUAAAAUUUUUAAAAAUAUCUCACACCCCCAUGGAAAAAUUUCUAGGUCCGCCACUGGUGGGUGAUAAGGUUGAACCAAGUAUGAGCCGUGGUGGAGAAGAAGGUCCCUGGGACGGGGAGUUCUGUUCAGGCUGGGGAUUCUGCUGUUGAAGAGAAAGAUGAGGAAGGUUCUUCUGAUAGGAAAGAGUACUCCCGGGGUUCCCUCCGGAUGAAAAGCUCUAGCAACGAUGAAGAUGACGAGGAUCUGGAGAGCCGUUUGAUCCGUAAACGAAAAGCAGCCCAGACCAGUAGCCCCAAAGUGGCCCCUGCCUCUCGAAACAUUCGGCUAAGGCCCCAGAGUGCCAGUGGUCAGAAGACUUUUCCUGCUACCAAAACCGCUUCUGAACUUCCUCCUGUUGGGGCCAAGGGCUCUUUGUCCAAGAACUUGAGGGAAGCUCCAAGGAUACGAUUGAAAUUCCUCCUGCCCCUUCCUCUUCUCGAGUCAGGGAUAAAACUCCUGAAAUUAGUGCUGCUCGCGUCAUUCCUGCCUUUGAUAUUUCUCCUCUUCAUGCCACCGGGACUAGCAAGCCUUCUCAUCCUGAGGGUCUUGCUUUUCAGUCCCCUUUGGCCCCUUUGUUUGCUGAGGGUCUUCCGGUCCCGUAUGUCCCUAAGUGGAAAAUAACUUCAUCCACUAUUGUGGGGACCCCUGAGAUUGCUCGGGACUUCUUGGCUCAUGUCGUUCCCCCUUCUCACAAAUUUAUGAAUUCUGCCCUGAGACCUGAUCUCUUUGAUGAUCAAUACAGCAUGUCUCUUUGUGAGGGGUUUUUAGGGGGGCCGGUAUGUUGCUGCGGAUGAAUGAGCUGAGGAGGGAAAACGAGGAGUUAAGGACUGAGCUUAGGACUUCUUAAACCAUUGCUGCCGAACUUUGGUGCCAGUUGACUGAUGUUGAGAGGAAGUUGUUGGAGGAGAAGAGUGCUGGAGCUAUGUUGGAGCAAAAGGAGCAGGCUUCGGAAAGGGAGAGGACAGCUUGGGUUGGGGAGAAGGAGGAGCUAGUUGCUGAACUAAAGCAUCAGAAAGAGGUUGACUCUGUUUCCCAGGGGGAUCUGAACACCAUGUAUGUCAAAUGAGGAUUGCUGUGGAUGAUAAUCAGAAGCUAGCUAAGGAGACGUACUGGCUUAUUACUGAGGGGUUUGGGUCCUUCCUAACUGUUGUCUACCAGUCCGAGGAGUUCAAGGGCAGUCUUGAGAGAAUUUAUAGGGCUUACCGAGAUGUGGGGUAUCAGGCGGGUCUGAAGGAUGGGUAUGCUUACUCUGCUCAGGGUUUAGGGAGGAAAGAGACUCCUCUUUACAAUUCAAGGGCCAAGAAGCAAUUGUCCAAUCUGGACAAAGAGUUUGGAGAGAAGACCCCUACCUUGCUUGAGAGAAUUCUUGAGCAGCCCCUGAUGUCUAUUGACGAACUCAAAGCCCUACUUACUCCCGCUGGACCCUCCUCGCCCAAGUCUUUGUCUGGGUUGCCUCCCGGUAGUUUCAAAACAAUUGUUUAUUUGAUAUGGUUGUAACUUAAUACUUAUGUACCUUGGAUACUGUUGACUUUUGCUUUUGGGGAGGCCUUUGUGUUGGGGUCUUCCCAGUGUCUAACCGUACUAUGCUUUUGUAGUUAUUUCAUAACUGUAUGUUACUGGUGUGCUCCUGUUUGCUGGUUUUGCUUCCUUGUUGUUUACAGGUGCUGUUACCAGUAGCUUGGGAGCUCUUUGUGUCUUUACCCGGGGUCGCUUCUCUUCUCCAGGGAUUUGCUAAGGCAUAGGAGUUGGUUUGG